CAGCCGCCGCGGGAAUACGUAGGGUGCAAGCGUUAAUCGGAAUUACUGGGCGUAAAGCGUGCGCAGGCGGUUAUAUAAGACAGAUGUGAAAUCCCCGGGCUCAACCUGGGAACUGCAUUUGUGACUGUAUAGCUAGAGUACGGCAGAGGGGGAUGGAAUUCCGCGUGUAGCAGUGAAAUGCGUAGAUAUGCGGAGGAACACCGAUGGCGAAGGCAAUCCCCUGGGCCUGUACUGACGCUUAUGCACGAAAGCGUGGGGAGCAAACAGGAUUAGAUACCCGGGUAGUCCCUGUCUCUUAUAC
rnacentral:rRNA from 1 species